rnacentral:misc_RNA from 1 species
GAGUGAGGGCCCUCGCGGUCCGACCUCCCAACCCUUUGUUAUCCAACUCUGUUGCCUCGGGGGCGACCCGGCCCUCGGGCGUCGGGGCCCCCGGUGGACCCAAUCAAUAACCCUGCAUCUUUGCGUCUGAGUACACAUUUGAAUCAAUCAAAACUUUCAACAACGGAUCUCUUGGUUCU